CAAUCCAGCAUGAGAGGAGUCUGUGGAAGGAUACAAGUACCACAAAAUGAGCAUGAUUUGUGGGCCAUGUUGAACAACAGCAAGAACACAACUCCCAGUCUCUUUCAGAUCCUAUAA
rnacentral:lncRNA from 1 species